AAGUAUUUCAUAGAAGGAUGCCCUAAAGAAAGGUGGCGGCGUAGAUUCGGCGUUGCAGGCCGCAGAAGAACGAAAGCUCAGGAUGAUAGGAAGGGCUGUUGCUGCUUGGAGUUGGAGAUCAUCUUCUUCUUCUUCUUCAUCUUUUGCCCUCCAUUGCCAAAUUUAAUGGAUUUUUAUUAGGGCUAGUUUCCAAAAGCAAGCAUCACUCUAUCGUCAUUUCUAUGUGUAAACUUGAGAUUUCCUCUGGAAUUCCACUUGUUAAUUCUUUCUGCCAUUCGAGUAGGUGAGGUUUCUCUCUCCCCAUUUUCGGAGAUUUCCUUAAGCUUGCCCUCAACGAGGGACUGCAAUUUGGUGCUUGUAGUCAUCAGGCUACUUAGAAGCAUGGCCUGUAAUUGAGCAUGAGAUUGUCACUUAUUCAUAGCCUUUGUGAGGAUAGACAAGUAACCGAGGCUUUGAACCUUUUCUCUGAAAUGACCACUUGAUAAUUCAUGGCCUAUGUGAUGAAUGUAACCAAAAACAAGUUACCACAAUGUUGAAUGAAAUGGUAGAUAGCAAGAUAAUGCCAAAUGUAGUUCUACCUUUAAUACAUUGGUGGUUGGAUUUUGUAAAAAAGCAAUGGUGAUAAAAGCAUAUGAUGUAGUUGACAUGAUGAUCCAAAGAUGUUUGACAUUGUUUGUAGUCCGCAAUGAGUAAGACAGUUAAAUUAUUUGAUGGGAUGGCAAGGGCUUCGCGUUCGAUGUUGUUAGCUAUAAUAUCUUGAUCAAUGAAUACUGCAAGAUUCAAAGGAUAGAUGAGGUCACGAGUCUCUUUGAAGAAACAUAUAUGCUCCUAUGCACAGUUUGUGCCAUGUGGGAAGACUCCAGGAUGCAAUAGAACUUUUUCAAGAGAUGGUAGCUCAUGGCCAAAUUCGAAAUCAUUUUACUCGGGUACCUAUCCAAAAAUGGACAUCUUGCCAAGGUUUUGACAUUGCUUAAAGCUUUUGAAGAUUGUAAUUUGGAUCCUGAUAUGCCAAAUUUAUACUAUAGGUCAUUGAUGGCAUAGAUAUGAAAGGCUGAUGAACUUGAAGCUACAAGGGACCUCUUUUCCAAUCUCUCUUCCAAAGGAUUGCUACCUAAUGUUCGAACUUAUUGUAUAAUGAUCACUGGGCUUUGUCAAGAAGGUUUGUCAGGGGAGGCAGGUGAGUUGUUUGAGGAAAUGGAUAUAACGAGACAUCCCGGGCAAUUCAACUUCUUAAAGAAAUGGCUGCAAGGGGAUUUCUAUUGAUGCAUCCACUGCAACCUUGUAAGUGUAAAUGGUUUAUGAUGAUGGAUUGGAUCAACCUGUAAAACAAAUUUUGUAUGAGUUUAUGCAACAGGGCUAUGAUUUUCAUCAACUCAAAAGUAUGGAGUUCUUGGCAGUACCCUCUUGUGCAUUUGCUUGUGAAUUGUGAUUUUGGAACCAAAAGAGUUUGAUUUUAUGACAAUGUCAUGUUGUUGCAGUAGUUCCAAUUUCUUUUGGGAUUUGUAUGAGCACUGUAUGAGCAAUGAUUCAUUGGUUAUAUGUAUUUGAAUUUUUUUUCCCCUUGUAUGGUAUAGUAUGCUCUCACCAUACUGGCUUGACUACCAUUGCAGGUUGUUUUGGUUGCAAGUAUUCCCUUAUCAUAUUGGGGCCAUAAAUUUUUUUUGAAGAACAAGGAAAUCAUAAUAAAUUA